UCAGUGUUUGUUGGGUGCCUGGGUUUCGCGUACAAUCCAUUAACAUCUGCCUGCUGUAUUUAACAUCAUCUCAGCAAACUAACUGUAGCUUUCUCCUUUCUCUCUCUAGAAACCUCCGAGCCAUGAGAGCCAAGUGGAGGAAGAAGAGAAUGCGCAGACUGAAGCGCAAGAGAAGAAAGAUGAGGCAGAGGUCCAAGUAAAGCAACCGGGCGCCCCCUCCGAAGCCACAGCUGCAGGACUAUGGAGUGCCUGAGGCCAGGACGCUGCUACAAGCUGUUGACUGCGUGCUACCCACCGUCUCCGCAUCUGAAACUUCCGUCGCCAUUCGAUCGCCGAGAGACCCGGCCCCUUGCUCAACACCCAACCAGUCCGGCUUUGCUCCUUUGCCCCGGACCUCAGACAUUCUGGACUCGUUCUGUCCUCAGUUGUGGCUCGAUGUAAUGUGCACAAUAAACCAUCUCUUCUGCUGUCUUGGCUGAGGAACAAAU